UUUAUCAAGUGCCAUAAUUAAAAAUCAACCAAAUUAAAAUACAAUCUAUUAGAUUCCCAUAGAUUGCCAGUUAUGCCUUGUUACAUUUAUUUUGAUUCCAAUAAGGUAUUUUUUAAUUCUGUCCACCAUUUAUUCUGCUAGCAGUUUUUCACAACUAAUCUAUCAGUUUCAUACUAAUCUAUCAGGAGUGUGACAAACACCUUUGUUUCCCUUACUGUUUUUUUAACUAAGAGAGUGAGAGAUCCUUCUGAAGGUUUCCUUUCAUCUCAGAGAGCCAAAUUUUGUUUCAGUUUAAGUAUUUUGUAACUGAAUAAGUUCAGCUGGAGAUCAAAUAAGAUAAGACUUUGACUUCAGUCAAUUUUUGCAACAUCAGGUUGUGUUACUUUAAAAAUAGUUUAGUUGUUUCUUUUACACACUGGAAACCAUCACUCAGAUUUCCUUUUAGAAAAGAAACUAAAAAUGUUUUCUCAUGUCUCCAGCAUUCGUCCUCUGAAAACUGACAGUUUCCAGUGGGCUGUCAUUAAUGAGAGAAGAAUCCAAACAUGAGUAGCAGGCACAGCAAUCUGUCCUUUCAGUGAAGGAACCACAUACCAGUAUUGUGAAAUCCCACUGGAAUUUCAAAACUUGAAGUGUCUAUAAACAAAGGAAGCAUCUCUCAAGUGGUGAUCAUGUUCAUAACACCUUGAAGCCCUCUGGGAGUGAUUGUGCCAUUUUCAUCCAUGCUGCAAAUCUCUGCAGGUGAAAUCUGACUGCAUCACAUGAAUGUAUGGCCCUUAAUGCCUCAAGUUUAAAAGCAGCAAAUCAAGUGAAGACGGGAACAAAGAAAAGGCAGCAUACAUAACAAUUAAUU